rnacentral:rRNA from 1 species
CUGAGUAGGAUGAAGCCGGAGGAAACUCUGGUGGAGGUCCGAAGCGCUUUUGACGUGCAAAUCAAUCGUCAGACUUGGGUAUAGGGGCGAAAGACUAAUCGAACCAUCUAGUAGCUGGUUCCCUUCGAAGUUUCCCCCAGGAAAGCUGGUGCCAUGUUUGACAGUUUUAUCUGGUAAAGCGAAUGAUUAGAGGCAUUGGGGACGAAUUGUCCUCGACCUAUUCUCAAACUUUAAAUGGGUAAUGUACCGUUGUACUUCUUGAUAUUCAUGAGUGCUCGGUCAAAUGCAAUGGCGCCAAGUGGGCCAUUUUUGGUAAGCAGAACUGGCGAUGUGGGAUGAACCAAACGUUGAGCUAGGAUGCCCAAAGUGCUUCUCAUGAGAUACCAUGAAAGGUGUCAGUCGAUAUUGACAGCAGGACGGUGGCCGCAGAAGUAGGAAUCCGCUAAGGAGUGUGUAACAACUCACCUGCCGAAUCGACUGGUCCUGAAAAUGGAUGGCGCUGGAGACGUAUAUCCAUGCUCGACCGUCAAUGCCAACGAAAGCGAUUGCUAUAUGGCUUGACGUGUAGAAGGGCGAUUGCCGUGGCGUCGAAACUUGCACCGUGAGGUGGGGUAGAGCUGCGGCAUGUGCAGAUCUUGGUGGUAGUAGCAAGUAUUCAAAUGAGAGCAUUGAAGACUGAAGUGGAGUAAGGUUCCAUGUGAACAGCAUUUGGACAUGGAUCAGCCGAUCCUAAGAGAACGUGUAAGUUCGUGAUUAAGCGCGUCGCCUUGUGCGUCGCAAUCGAAAGGGAAUCGGGUUAAUAUUCCCGAGCCAGGAUACGGAAUGAGCCUGAUUAAUCGAAAGUACCUUGUGUGCUUUUGACUUCAGGCAAAAGCGGCAACGCCAACAAACCCAGAGAUUAACUAUGCGAAGUCCGGGGAAGAGUUUUCUCUUCUUUGUAAGGGAUGUUAUCCCUGGAAACAGAUUGUCUGGCGAUAGGGUACGCAUCCCGUAAUGCAACGCGAUUCCUGCGAUGUACCGUGCGCUUCGUAUAGUGCUUGAAAAUCUGGGAGCGAGUUUGUUCAGGCCGUACCUGUUCGUACUGAUUUCCGCAGCAGGUCUCCAAGGUGAGCAGCCUCUAGUCGAUGGGACAAAGUAGACAAGGGAAGUCGGCAAAUUAGAUCCGUAACUUCGGAAAAAGGAUUGGCUCUAAAGGCUGAGUUGGUCGGGCGGUUGCGUAAAGCUGGGAGCGAUGCUUUGACUCUGUCUCAGACUCCAUACUCGCAAGGGAUAUGUAAUCGGCGGCGGAGCUUAGUAUUUGCUCACUGUGGACCGCGGUCGCUAUGCCACCCAUGCGGUGUCAAAAUUCAUUUUCGAGCCGUGCGGUGUGGAUCCGAUCAGCGUUUAACAGCUGACCUAGAACUGGUAUGGACAAGGGGAAUCCAACUGUUUAAUUAAAACAAAGCAUUGCGAUAGCUGUAAUCGGUGUUGACGCGAUGUGAUUUCUGCCCAGUGCUCUGAAUGUUAAAGUGAAGGAACUCAUUAAAGCGCGAGUUAACGGCGGAAGUAACUAUGACUUUCUUAAGGUAGCCAAAUGCCUCGUCAUCUAAUUAGUGACGUGCAUGAAUGGAUUAUUGAGAUUCCUUCUGUCCCUGUCUGCAACCUAGCGAAACCACAGCCAAGGGAACGGGCUUGGAGAGUAACAGCGGGGAAAGAAGACCCUGUUGAGCUUGACUCUAGUCAGUCUUUGUGAAGAAACAUGAUGGGUGUAGAAUAGGUGGGAGGACGCGACAGUGAAAUACCACUACUAUCAUCGUUUCUUUACUUACUCAAUUGAUCAGGGAGCGUGAAUUCGCUAUUUGCGAUGUAUGAUUAUUCCUUCAGUGGAAUAAGUGUCUGGUUUGAGAACACAGACUGAUUGGGAGUUUGACUGGGGCGGUACAUCUGUUAAAAUCUAACGCAGGUGUCCUAAGGCAAUCUCAGCGUGGACAGAAACCUCGCAUAGAGCGAAAGGGCAAAAGAUUGCUUGAUCUUGAUUUUCAGUACGAAUAAAGA